rnacentral:rRNA from 1 species
ACUUGUAUCAACGGCAUCACGAGGGUUAAACUGUCUCCUUUUUCAUAUCAGUGAAACUAAUCUCCCCGUGAAGAAGCGGGGAUAAUCCUAUAAGACGAGAAGACCCCAUGGAGCUUUAAACCCAACUACACUCCUUUUUGACUUUACUUUUUAACUCCUAGGAUUUUGUAUGUUCUGGUUUUAGGUUGGGGUGACCGCGGAGCAUAAAUUAGCCUCCACAANGAAUAGACCUU